GGGUUGUGAGGUUAAGCGACUAAGCGUACACGGUGGAUGCCCUGGCAGUCAGAGGCGAUGAAGGACGUGCUAAUCUGCGAAAAGCGUCGGUAAGGUGAUAUGAACCGUUAUAACCGGCGAUGUCCGAAUGGGGAAACCCAGUGUGAUUCGUCACACUAUCGUUAACUGAAUACAUAGGUUAACGAGGCGAACCGGGGGAACUGAAACAUCUAAGUACCCCGAGGAAAAGAAAUCAACCGAGAUUCCCCCAGUAGCGGCGAGCGAACGGGGAGCAGCCCAGAGUCUGAAUCAGCUUGUGUGUUAGUGGAACGGUCUGGAAAGUCCGACGGUACAGGGUGAUAGUCCCGUACACCAAAAUGCACAGGCUGUGAACUCGAAGAGUAGGGCGGGACACGUGGUAUCCUGUCUGAAUAUGGGGGGACCAUCCUCCAAGGCUAAAUACUCCUGACUGACCGAUAGUGAACCAGUACCGUGAGGGAAAGGCGAAAAGAACCCCGGCGAGGGGAGUGAAAAAGAACCUGAAACCGUGUACGUACAAGCAGUGGGAGCACCUUUAUGGUGUGACUGCGUACCUUUUGUAUAAUGGGUCAGCGACUUAUAUUCUGUAGCAAGGUUAACCGUAUAGGGGAGCCGCAGGGAAACCGAGUCUUAACUGGGCGUUAAGUUGCAGGGUAUAGACCCGAAACCCGGUGAUCUAGCCAUGGGCAGGUUGAAGGUUGGGUAACACUAACUGGAGGACCGAACCGACUAAUGUUGAAAAAUUAGCGGAUGACUUGUGGCUGGGGGUGAAAGGCCAAUCAAACCGGGAGAUAGCUGGUUCUCCCCGAAAGCUAUUUAGGUAGCGCCUCGUGAACUCAUCUUCGGGGGUAGAGCACUGUUUCGGCUAGGGGGUCAUCCCGACUUACCAACCCGAUGCAAACUACGAAUACCGAAGAAUGUUAUCACGGGAGACACACGGCGGGUGCUAACGUCCGUCGUGAAGAGGGAAACAACCCAGACCGCCAGCUAAGGUCCCAAAGUCAUGGUUAAGUGGGAAACGAUGUGGGAAGGCACAGACAGCCAGGAUGUUGGCUUAGAAGCAGCCAUCAUUUAAAGAAAGCGUAAUAGCUCACUGGUCGAGUCGGCCUGCGCGGAAGAUGUAACGGGGCUAAACCAUGCACCGAAGCUGCGGCAGCGACACUAUGUGUUGUUGGGUAGGGGAGCGUUCUGUAAGCCUGCGAAGGUGACCUGUGAGGGUUGCUGGAGGUAUCAGAAGUGCGAAUGCUGACAUAAGUAACGAUAAAGCGGGUGAAAAGCCCGCUCGCCGGAAGACCAAGGGUUCCUGUCCAACGUUAAUCGGGGCAGGGUGAGUCGACCCCUAAGGCGAGGCCGAAAGGCGUAGUCGAUGGGAAACAGGUUAAUAUUCCUGUACUUGGUGUUACUGCGAAGGGGGGACGGAGAAGGCUAUGUUAGCCGGGCGACGGUUGUCCCGGUUUAAGCAUGUAGGCUGGUUAUCCAGGCAAAUCCGGAUAAUCAAGGCUGAGGUGUGAUGACGAGGCACUACGGUGCUGAAGUAACAAAUGCCCUGCUUCCAGGAAAAGCCUCUAAGCAUCAGGUAACAUCAAAUCGUACCCCAAACCGACACAGGUGGUCAGGUAGAGAAUACCAAGGCGCUUGAGAGAACUCGGGUGAAGGAACUAGGCAAAAUGGUGCCGUAACUUCGGGAGAAGGCACGCUGGUGUGUAGGUGAAGUCCCUGCGGAUGGAGCUGAGACCAGUCGAAGAUACCAGCUGGCUGCAACUGUUUAUUAAAAACACAGCACUGUGCAAACACGAAAGUGGACGUAUACGGUGUGACGCCUGCCCGGUGCCGGAAGGUUAAUUGAUGGGGUUAUCCGUAAGGAGAAGCUCUUGAUCGAAGCCCCGGUAAACGGCGGCCGUAACUAUAACGGUCCUAAGGUAGCGAAAUUCCUUGUCGGGUAAGUUCCGACCUGCACGAAUGGCGUAAUGAUGGCCAGGCUGUCUCCACCCGAGACUCAGUGAAAUUGAACUCGCUGUGAAGAUGCAGUGUACCCGCGGCAAGACGGAAAGACCCCGUGAACCUUUACUAUAGCUUGACACUGAACAUUGAGCCUUGAUGUGUAGGAUAGGUGGGAGGCUUUGAAGCGUGGACGCCAGUCUGCGUGGAGCCAACCUUGAAAUACCACCCUUUAAUGUUUGAUGUUCUAACGUUGGCCCCUGACCGGGGUUGCGGACAGUGUCUGGUGGGUAGUUUGACUGGGGCGGUCUCCUCCCAAAGCGUAACGGAGGAGCACGAAGGUUAGCUAAUCCUGGUCGGACAUCAGGAGGUUAGUGCAAUGGCAUAAGCUAGCUUGACUGCGAGCGUGACGGCGCGAGCAGGUGCGAAAGCAGGUCAUAGUGAUCCGGUGGUUCUGAAUGGAAGGGCCAUCGCUCAACGGAUAAAAGGUACUCCGGGGAUAACAGGCUGAUACCGCCCAAGAGUUCAUAUCGACGGCGGUGUUUGGCACCUCGAUGUCGGCUCAUCACAUCCUGGGGCUGAAGUAGGUCCCAAGGGUAUGGCUGUUCGCCAUUUAAAGUGGUACGCGAGCUGGGUUUAGAACGUCGUGAGACAGUUCGGUCCCUAUCUGCCGUGGGCGCUGGAGAAUUGAGGGGGGCUGCUCCUAGUACGAGAGGACCGGAGUGGACGCAUCACUGGUGUUCGGGUUGUCAUGCCAAUGGCACUGCCCGGUAGCUAAAUGCGGAAGAGAUAAGUGCUGAAAGCAUCUAAGCACGAAACUUGCCCCGAGAUGAGUUCUCCCUGAGACUUUAAGUCUCCUGAAGGAACGUUAAAGACGAUGACGUUGAUAGGCCGGGUGUGUAAGCGCAGCGAUGCGUUGAGCUAACCGGUACUAAUGAACCGUGAGGCUUAACCUUACAACGCCGAAG
rnacentral:rRNA from 1 species